rnacentral:rRNA from 1 species
GAUGAACGCUGGCGGCGUGCCUAACACAUGCAAGUCGAGCGAUUCUCUUCGGAGAAGAGCGGCGGACGGGUGAGUAACGCGUGGGUAACCUGCCCUGUACACACGGAUAACAUACCGAAAGGUAUGCUAAUACGAGAUAAUAUACUUUUAUCGCAUGGUAGAAGUAUCAAAGCUUUUGCGGUACAGGAUGGACCCGCGUCUGAUUAGCUAGUUGGUAAGGUAACGGCUUACCAAGGCGACGAUCAGUAGCCGACCUGAUAGGGUGAUCGGCCACAUUGGAUCUGAGACACGGUCCAAACUCCUACGGGAGGCAGCAGUGGGGAAUAUUGCACAAUGGGCGAAAGCCUGAUGCAGCAACGCCGCGUGAGCGAUGAAGGCCUUCGGGUCGUAAAGCUCUGUCCUCAAGGAAGAUAAUGACGGUACUUGAGGAGGAAGCCCCGGCUAACUACGUGCCAGCCGCCGCCGUAA